rnacentral:rRNA from 1 species
AGUGAACGCUGGCGGUAGGCCUAACACAUGCAAGUCGAACGGCAGCACAGGAGAGCUUGCUCUCUGGGUGGCGAGUGGCGGACGGGUGAGGAAUACAUCGGAAUCUACUUUUUCGUGGGGGAUAACGUAGGGAAACUUACGCUAAUACCGCAUACGACCUACGGGUGAAAGCAGGGGACCUUCGGGCCUUGCGCGAUGGAAUGAGCCGAUGUCGGAUUGGCUAGUUGGCGGGGUAAAGGCCCACCAAGGCGACGAUCCGUAGCUGGUCUGAGAGGAUGAUCAGCCACACUGGAACUGAGACAAGGUCCAGACUCCUACGGGAGGCAGCAGUGGGGAAUAUUGGACAAUGGGCGCAAGCCUGAUCCAGCCAUACCGCGUGGGUGAAGAAGGCCUUCGGGUUGUAAAGCCCUUUUGUUGGGAAAGAAAUCCAGCUGGCUAAUACCCGGUUGGGAUGACGGUACCCAAAGAAUAAGCACCGGCUAACUUCGUGCCAGCCGCCGCCGUAAAAC